UACGUAGGGGGCAAGCGUUGUCCGGAAUCAUUGGGCGUAAAGCGCGUGUAGGCGGCUCGGUAAGUCCGCUCUGAAAGCCCGGGGCUCAACCCCGGGAGGCGGGUGGAUACUGCUGAGCUCGAGUCCGGAAGAGGAGUGUGGAAUUCCUGGUGUAGCGGUGAAAUGCGCAGAUAUCAGGAGGAACACCAAUGGCGAAGGCAGCACUCUGGGACGGUACUGACGCUGAGGAGCGAAAGCGUGGGGAGCGAACAGG
rnacentral:rRNA from 1 species